ensembl:lncRNA
AUAAAGAAAUCUGUGGAAAAUUGGCCUUAAAGUCGGAUUGGUUCCUAGCUCCGGUGCAGAACUCGGGGCGGGACAAACCAGCUAUGUGCCCAUAAUGCAGUCUGUUAUACUCUGCAUCUAGGAAACCUGUAACCGCCGGUAAAUGUAGGGAACGGCCGCCUUUACAGGCCAGGGAAGCUCUGCUGUAGCACUCUGUGCUGGGCGGCUAGCAAUGGACCAAGAGCGCACCUUGGCCACCUGGAAAAUUUGAGUGAGGCUGUCAGUUCUCCCCAAGGGAAACACUGGAGUCAGGACUAGGGUCUGUCCUGUAAGGUUGGAAAAUGAAACUCACACCAGUUUGCUGAAAAUAAUAAUUUUAAAUCAACUAAGCAAAACAAAUUAUAUUUUUAUGAGAACAAUUUCAAAUAGCGACGUGAAAUGAAUCCCCCAAAUAUAAUUACGUUAAUAAGAAAACGGAUACAAACACAUUUUCAGAUGAAAAACGACAUCAAAUGCCCAGAUACAAUUAUUUUGAAAAAAUAAAUAAAUAAAGUUUAUUUGUAUACCUCUCAGUCAUCAUUGUGUUGCAUUGCAUUUUAUUGUACAGGUUAUUAUUACUGAAUUUGUUAAUAUUAUUAAUAAUAUUAUGCUAUAAUGUAAAUUUUAAUCUUAAAUGCAAGUUAUUAUGAUAACUGUUACUUAUUAAAAUGACUAAUUUCUCGUCACAUAUAAUAAUAAUGCAAUUCAUAUUGCUCUGCAUUAAAGGAUUAUAAAUUCUCAAUCACUUUUUUUCAUAUGCAGAAAAUCUCCAUCAUCAUCCAGGUACUUCUCCAAGAGAAUGCGAAGAUCUGUGGCAAUAAACAGCACCAAGGUUACCAUAGUCAGCUGGAUCCAGUCAGUGUCCAGAGCAGAUGGUGGACCUGCACCCAGGAAUGACCACAACACAGCCCUCCAUGGCCAGAGAAGACCUCGAUGAGACAAGCCCUCAGGACAGAUCUUCAGCAAAGACCCAUCCUGUCAUCCUGGUCCUCAGCGAAGACCUCAGCAACUAGAAGAGCUCUCGGCACAGAUCCCAACAGCCAGCUAUGAACGAGUCAUGUCAGGACCAGCUAGGACCGUUGCACAGUUUUAUCAAAAAGGUCAUUCAUCGUGCUUAAGGCCACUGAUAAAUUAGUUGUCUACUACCGGCUGAACGGCAGCUCUACCUUCAUAUUCCAACCUGCUGCAUCUCCUUUUCCUACCUAACGCCGGUGUAAUGUAUCCUAAUCAAUACCACAUUGUGUUUGUUUGCUUGGGCCAGAGGAGAACUGGUCCCUGAGCCUGGUUUAUCCCAAGGUUUUUUCUCCAUUCUGCCACCUGAUAGAGUUUGAGUUCCUUGCCACUGUCACCUUUGUUUACUUAUUUGGGGUCUGAAAAGGGCCUUUCGCACCGUGGGAACCUUUCCAUAGUACCAGAACUAGUCGACCGGCUUACUACUUCUUAGUACACACUCUCGGUGCGAAUGCAACCCUUUAAAUGGUACUGGGAAAUAGUUCGCGCAAAAUCGUCCCAGUACUUUAGUACUGUACAUUUAGUUCUGGAACUAAAGCGGUGCGAAAGGCCCUAAAGACACUUAACUUUCAGAAAUGUAUAAAUGUAACUGCACUGAGACCAUUGGAUGACAUUGCUGCCUUCUGUAGAGCUGCAUAUAUAACACACUGAACUGACUUGAGGUAAAUAAUGAUGCUAUUGCCUUUUAGGGCUUCAAAUACGCAUGGUCAGUAAUACUGAAUGGAUUUCAUUAUCAUCACAUACCUUUAAUUCCAAAUCAGCUUAGCUAAAAAUAGCUUCUUGUCAUUGACAUUUGAUUAUCAUUUUGUUAUAUUAAAAUAUAUUUAUAAAUAAUUGUAUAAUUUGGAAAAUUCUUAUUUGCAGAGCUGAUAGCGGAAGGGAGUGGAAGAGAGAUUUAAAAAAAAUUGUAAAAUGUCAUGUGUCAGUGUGUUGAUGUGAAACAUUAAUAAAUAUUUGUUCAGAAUGCUGUCAUUGUUGAGACAUUUUUCAUGCGGGCC